ACGCCAGGAGUGCACCCUACAGAGCACUGACCCUCAACAUGGACUGGAGCUGGAGAGUCCUCUUCCUCCUGGCAGUGGCUGCAGGUGUCCACUCCCAGGUCCAGCUGGUGCAGUCUGGGGCUGAGCUGAAGAAGCCUGGGACAUCUGUGAAGGUCUCCUGCAAGGCGUCCGGAUACACCUUCACAAGCUACUAUAUGAACUGGGUGCGGCAGGUCCGUGGACAAGGGCUCGAGUGGAUGGGAUUGAUCAACCCCAGCAGUGGUGGCACAAACUAUGCACAGAAGUUCCAGGGCCGAGUCACCCUGACCAGGGACACGUCCACAAGCACAGCGUUCAUGGAGCUGAGCAGUCUGAGACCCGAGGACACGGCCAUGUAUUACUGUGCGAGAGACACAGCGUGAGAACCCACAUCCUGAGGGUGUCAGAAACCCUGAGGGACAGGGGGUGUGCUGGGCUGAGGAGGGGA